rnacentral:rRNA from 1 species
UACAGAGGUCUCAAGCGUUGUUCGGAUUCAUUGGGCGUAAAGGGUGCGUAGGCGGCGCGGUAAGUCGGGUGUGAAAUCUUGGAGCUUAACUCCGAAACUGCAUUCGAUACUGCGGUGCUUGAGGACUGGAGAGGAGACUGGAAUUUACGGUGUAGCGGUGAAAUGCGUAGAUAUCGUAAGGAAGACCAGUGGCGAAGGCGACUCUUUGGCCUGUAACUGACGCUGAGGCGCGAAAGCGUGGGGAGCAAACAGG